GGUAAGCAGGACAAUUUUGUUGCUCCAAGUAUUCAACAUUUAGUUGACGAAGUUGCAAAAAAGUAUCACACAAACUAGACUGGAGAGCAAUUGCCUAUUAAUGGCCGACUCCUCUGCAACUUUCCAACAAGAAAUUCUAUCUUCUAUGAGCAAGAAUCUGGAUACCAUAAUCAAGCAGGCAUUAAAUCUUCCAACAUUCCCCCCAUGAUAGGCAAAGAAUGGUACAACAUUUUUGUUCCCUGACAAAUUCCCAACACUUUCCCUUCUAUUCAUUCAUAUGAACAAAAUGAUUUGGAAUAUGGAUCUAGAGUUUGC
rnacentral:misc_RNA from 1 species